rnacentral:lncRNA from 1 species
UGACUCCAGAGUGGAGCCUUUCCACAGUUUCAGGCUGGUGUCUGAGGCCUCAGCGUCUGCCCCCAGGAGAGCUCCAACUGGCCGGGAUGCCACCCGCGUCGCCGCCCCGCGGCCAUGGAACAUCUGUCCACCCCAUGCAGUCUGGGAGAGCUGGUCUGAUGCAAACAAAUGGGCUCCCGUUAACCAUGAGUAGGGCCAUUCAUUGCGAGAGCCCUGAUCCUGGAACCGUGUUCCUCCCUGGCCCCGGGAGGCCCCUGGAGUGUGAGCUGUGGGGCCUUGAGAGUCCUGUGUUUUUGUCUUAGAAAAAGCUGCUGAAGAGAGUUGGGCAGUCCCAGUGUUCCCCUAAGGAGGCAGAGCGCCUCCUCUCUGCUGAAAUAAUCCGACACAAGCUGCCGAGGCUGGAAUCCCAGCAGCCGAUCCACACCCUGAGGUCUAGGGCAAAACCUAACGUUUUUCUUUGAACCCUGGGAAUUGAGCAACUGAAAGUCUGGAUUCUAUUUCUCACGCUAAUUCUCAGUCCGGUGACCAUCAUCGGUGGAGGAGAACCAUCUCACGGGUCUGGGCUGCAGCUCUGGGACUGCUGCUGUUUCGAUCAGGACGGUGGGUGCAUCGAGGAUGCUGCUUGCCAGGCACUAAAGAGACUUGUCGUGGCCCAGAUGAACAUUUGCAGCAUCUGGAGGCCGUGCCAGAACCCGGAGUCCCAGCACAUGCGUGUGGAAGACCCAUUUCCAGGUCACCUGGGUAAAGAAUGGACAGUGCGGCUUCCCGCUGGGACGUUUCCCCUGUGUGUUCCAAACACAGAAAGAGGAAGAAAGCUUUGAGUUUUUAUGGAACAAGCAUAGCAGUGACACCAAGGAGAUCUGCAGAAAGCAAGCUAUGAACUCAUGUGAUGUGUGAAGAGCAAUGUGAGAAUCCUAAAUAGAUUAUUAGCAGACAGAGUCCAGCAGUGUUAGAGAGUUACAUCCCCAGACUAAGUGUUUUCCAGUGAAGUAGGGAGGGCUCCCUGUUAGGUCUAUUGACAUAAAUCACCAUUUAAUACCGCAAAAGAGAAAAAGAACAUGGCCAUCUCUGUAGAUGCUGACAAACAUUGGAUGAAGUUCAACAUCCAUUCUAUUUUUAAAAUUCUCCUGAUAAAAUAGAAAUUGAUGAAUGCUUCUUUAAUGUUAUAAAUGAUCUCUGUCUCAGCCUGAAAGAGCACAUCUUGGGGAAACACUGGAAACAUUCCCCCCAAAGUUGUGAAGACGCCAGACAUUCCCACCCCGUGUCGUCCUCACAUGUGUGGGAGGCACUGGCCUGUGCCUUUAUCAAGAGAGAGAAGCUGAAAGUACCAAAAUGGGAAAGCGUGAGAUAAAGUGAUAAUCACUUAUGGAUAUUUUAUUGCAUAUCUGGAAAACUCUAAAGAAGCAACUGAAAAAAGUGAACAAAAAUCUAAGAGGAUUUGGCAAAGUAUAAAAUUAGGAUAUGGAAAUUGGCAGCCUUUCUAUCUAGAAACAAGAACCACUAGGAAAUAUGAUCAAAGAAAAGACAACAUCAAAAAAAGGUAAAACAUCUGAGAAUGUGGUUAGAGGAAAUGUGGAAACUCUACAGCAGGAAGACUUCACGGCCUCCGGGGCUGCGCUGGCCGGGACGAGGGGAGCAGCAGGCUGUGCUGGAAGGGAAGACUUGUCAAGAUGCCGGUUUUCACUAAGUUCAUCUGUACGUACAGUACAAUCUCAAUGAAAAUGUUAACUCUUCUUUUUUUAACCAGACAGGCUAAAUCUGUAUGAAAAAUUAACAGAACAGGUGGAACAAACCUAAAAGAAAAACCAAAUAAUAGAGAACUUAGUCCUAUCAGAUAGUAAAACAUAUUAUGAAAUUAUAUUUUAAACUAUAUGCGACUGGCAAAUGAGUAGGUAGGAAGUCCAGAAAUAGACCCAAUAUACAUGCAAAUUAUAGGAUGGAGGCAUUUAAAUCAUUGGGGAUGCACGAUUUUCCUGUAACGAUCAGUGGGUAGACGUCCAGGAAAACCCUAAAGCUGGUUGUGUACUCCACCACAAUCAGGUCUAGGCAGAUCAAAGAGUUAAAUGCAAAUGAAAAGAAAAGCAGCAGAAGUGUCUAACAGAAGCCAUGGGGGAUUUUUAUAUGUUGAAGUUUGGAAGGAAGGCCUAAAUAUGACACAAAACCCAGAAGCCAUAAUAUUGUUAAUAAAUGUGAUUACAUAAGAAUAAAAAACUUCUGCAUGGACCAAGAAUGCCA